ACCGUAUCUAGUCAUCACGGUCCUCAACCCACACCAUUUGGUGUUUUUGAGGCUAAGAGGGAACCCGGUGCGCCAGAAGGCAAAUCCGGGGCUGCCCCCGCAACUGUAAGCGGCGAGUCGCUGUCUUUCAUCGUGUCACUGGUGCCAGCCGGCGCCGGGAAGACCAGACGGCGACCAGGACCCGCGAGCCAGGAGACCUGCCGUGAUCGAUGAAACGUC
rnacentral:ncRNA from 1 species